rnacentral:rRNA from 1 species
CGCGUAGGCGGGUCUGUUAGUCAGAGGUGAAAUCCUACGGCUCAACCGUAGAACUGCCUUUGAUACUGCAGAUCUUGAGUAUGGAAGAGAGUGACGGAAUUCCAGGUGUAGUGGUGAAAUACGUAGAUAUCUGGAAGAACACCAGUGGCGAAGGCGGUCACUUGGUCCAUUACUGACGCUGAGGCGCGAAAGCGUGGGGAGCAAACA